rnacentral:rRNA from 1 species
CCUACGGGAGGCAGCAGUGAGGAAUAUUGGUCAAUGGCCGGACGGCUGAACCAGCCAUGCCGCGUGAAGGUCAGUGCCCUAUGGGCGUUAAACUUCUUUUGUGCGGGAGCAAUAAUGGUCACGUGUGGCCAGACGAGAGUACCGUACGAAUAAGCAUCGGCUCACUCCGUGCCAGCAGCCGCGGGAAAACGCGGGAUGCACGCGUUAUCCGGAUUUAUUGGGGUUAAAGGGUGCGUAGGCUGGGAGGUAAGUCAGCGGUGAAAAGCCGCCGCUCAACGGGGUGACGUGCCAUUGAUACUGGCGUGCUGGAGUGCGGAUGCCGUGGGAGGAAUGUGUGGUGUAGCGGUGAAAUGCAUAGAUAUCACUCAGAACACCGAUUGCGAAGGCAUCUCACGAAUCCGCGAUUGACGCUGAUGCACGAAAGCGUGGGUAUCGAACAGGAUUAGAUACCCGGGUAGUC